rnacentral:rRNA from 1 species
CACGACUCUCGGCAACGGAUAUCUAGGCUCUCGCAUCGAUGAAGAACGACUGCGAUAGUUGGUGUGAAUUGCAGAAUCCCGUGAACCAUGGAGUCUUUGAACGCAAGUUGCGCCCGAAGCCGUCAGGCCGAGGGCACGUCUGCCUGGGCGUCAC